AGUUAAUUAGUUUAUAAAAACAUAUGUUUUGAAAACAUAAGAUUAGAAGGAUAAAACCUCUAUUAACUU
rnacentral:tRNA from 1 species